rnacentral:rRNA from 1 species
CCUACGGGAGGCAGCAGUAGGGAAUCUUUCACAAUGGGCGAAAGCCUGAUGGAGCAACGCCGCGUGCAGGAUGAAGGCCUUCGGGUUGUAAACUGCUUUUAUAAGCGAGAAAUAUGAUGGUAACUUAUGAAUAAGGAUCGGCUAACUACGUGCCAGCAGCCGCGGUCAUACGUAGGAUCCGAGCAUUAUCCGGAGUGACUGGGUGUAAAGAGUUGCGUAGGUGGCAUAAUAAGUAGCUAGUGAAAUCUGGUGGCUCAACCAUUCAGACUAUUAGCUAAACUGUUAAGCUCGAGACCGUUAGGGGUAACUGGAAUUUCUAGUGUAGGAGUGAAAUGCGUAGAUAUUAGAAGGAACACCAAUAGCGUAGGCAGGUUACUGGGACGGUACUGACACUAAGGCACGAAAGCGUAGGGAGCAAACGGGAUUAGAUACCCCGGUAGUC